GUGAUUAUAUCAUCGGAUUUAACAUGUUUAUAGUGUGUUAUGAGAAAACCUAUAAUGUUUCAUGAGAUUGCACAUAAAGGCAAAUAAAAUCAAGCACAGGACGAGACAUUCAAUGUAUUUGAGACACAGAUAUUUAAUUGCAACAAAUAUACUGACAA